UUGCAGCUGCGGAUAGACCUUGAAUAAUCUAACAUUGUUCUUUUGGUUUGCACUAGGAUGGGGAAGAAAAAGACCCCUGCGCUUUCUGUCUUUGUGGCAGCCCAGAUUCAAUAGGGGGUACAUCU